rnacentral:rRNA from 1 species
UACGAAGGGGGCUAGCGUUGUUCGGAAUCACUGGGCGUAAAGGGCGCGUAGGCGGCCGAUCAAGUCGGGGGUGAAAGCCUGUGGCUCAACCACAGAAUUGCCUUCGAUACUGCAUGGCUUGAGACCGGAAGAGGUAAGUGGAACUGCGAGUGUAGAGGUGAAAUUCGUAGAUAUUCGCAAGAACACCAGUGGCGAAGGCGGCUUACUGGUCCGGUUCUGACGCUGAGGCGCGAAAGCGUGGGGAGCAAACAGG